GGAGAUGUAGUUCAAUUGGUAGAAUGCUUGCCUAUCAUGCAGAAGGCCCUGGAUUCCAUCCCCAGCACCA
rnacentral:tRNA from 1 species